UACGAAGGGGGCUAGCGUUGCUCGGAAUCACUGGGCGUAAAGGGUGCGUAGGCGGGUCUUUAAGUCAGGGGUGAAAUCCUGGAGCUCAACUCCAGAACUGCCUUUGAUACUGAGGAUCUUGAGUACGGGAGAGGUGAGUGGAACUGCGAGUGUAGAGGUGAAAUUCGUAGAUAUUCGCAAGAACACCAGUGGCGAAGGCGGGUUGCUGGGCUGACACUGACGCUGAUGCGCGAAAGCUAGGGGAGCGAACGGG
rnacentral:rRNA from 1 species